rnacentral:rRNA from 1 species
GAUGAACGCUGGCGGUAUGCUUAACACAUGCAAGUCGAACGGUACCUUCGGGUAUAUUGGCGGACUGGUGAGUAACGCGUGAGAAUCUAUCUUCAUGGGUGGGCCACCAGUUAGAAAUGACUGCUAAUACGGGAUGUUCCGAAAUGCAAAAGAUUUAUUGCCUGAAAAAGAGCUCGCGUCAGAUUAGCUAGUAGGUGGUGUAAGAGACUACCUAGGCUUCGAUCUGUAGCUGGUCUGAGAGGACGAUCAGCCACACUGGAACUGAGACACGGUCCAGACUCCUACGGGAGGCAGCAGUGGGGAAUGUUCCGCACUGGGCGAAAGCCUGACGGAGCAAUAUCGCGUGAGGGACGAAGGAGCUUGGGUCGUAAACCUCUUUUCUCAAGGAAGACUCAGACGGUACUUGAGGAAUAAGCAACGGCUAACUAUGUG